AUACCUCAAGUAAAAUAAUCCAAAAUAUUAUUCUGUAUUCCUUCUCGAGAAACUGGCUUCUUCUUCAAUUAAAAAAAAAUCAUAUUUCUUAUUCAGUUGGAGCGUUCGCAAUAGUAGAACUUUCUUCAGGAUUAUUUGUAGAGAUGUGCGGACUUUCUUUAUCUACAGAUUAAUAGGCUGAAACACCAACACCAUGAUUUUCAGACCCUGCCAACUCUAUAAUUCUAUAAGAUCCAAUACCUGCUAGAUUGUUCCACAACACCAAUGUCCAAGUCAAUACCAUAUAUUAUCCACUGAAAUGUCUGAUUUAAUAUCAUAUGCAAAAACAUUAGAGCAAUGUGCUCUCCUUUACCCAUAUUGUGUACCACAGAACAUUAUGAACAUUAGGGGAGGAUUAGCCUGCAGCUAUUUUAGAUCGUGCACCAAAUACUUGUAGUUUUCCUAAAUUAGGGAGAAGAACAAGGUUGAAAUCCGCAAGAGUCGUAUAGAAAUUUCUGCAAUCAAUAUCAUACCUGAUCCAUGUCGGCAGCCUCUAAAUAAGCAACAUAAGUCCACAAUCCAUAAGUAUGUAGGCUACGCUCCAAUUUGAUGUAUCAUGCAAUUUUGCAAUACUCGGAUAGUUUUGUAAAGCAUACAGAUACUGCAUUGGAGGGCUAUAAGCUUCAAUAAUCUGAAAAUAUGUAGACCGCAGCUGAGAUCGUAACUUAGUAACACAACACAUGGUAUGAUAGCUAAAGGAGAGGCUAUCAAUUGUCAUUUUUUUGCACUGAUGUGCCAGUAGAAAAACACCAUUGAUUCGAUUUGAUGUGUGAAGUCACCUGUCGACUCGACUUGCCAUUGAUUCUGCGCCUAUUCCCUGGCUUCCUGAAAUAAAAUUUCCCAGCGUCGG
rnacentral:lncRNA from 1 species